UUUGAACGCCACGUAAUGACUACCUGGUAGGCCUGCUGGAUUAAAAGACUGCGGGCGACCUAUGCAUUUCCAGUCCUCACUCAGUUUAUUAUUUACAAGGUGAACAUGGAUCAUAUAAUGACAGUCAUUAUUAAGCUAGAUUGCUUAUCCAGUAAGAUCUCCUUGAUUUGCAUGGCCAACUGAAGACCUUAUAUACUGGAUCAAUAAGGAUGGAAAGCCAGGCCAAUAAAUACUAACAAAAGAGACGCUGAUUUGCAGAGCAGGUUGAGCUUGCUUACUUAUCCAAUAAGGUCUUCCGUUGCCUGCUUGUUCAACUGAAGGCCUUACUGGGUCAGUAAUAAGGUAAGAAUAGAAAGCCAAGUCAACAAGUUUUGACGAGAAGGAUGCUGAUUUGCAGACUGAUUGAUUACUAACUAGAUUACUUAUCCAAUAAGGUCUUCCAUUGUUAUGCAUGGUCAACUGAGGACCUUUUUGGAUCAGUAUUUUUCAUCCUUAAAAGGAUGGAAACGGUCAGGCYAAUAAAUACAAGAGAGACGCUGAUUUGCAGAGCAGGUUGAGCUUGCUUAUUACAAGUAUCCAAUAAGGUCUUCCGUUGAUAUACAUGGUCAACUGAAGACCUUACUGGAUCAGUAAUAAGGAUAGAAAAUCCGGUACCACGAGAAGAGAGAGCAGAAAGGCUAUUGUGAGUAUUUCCGGAUUACUCUUUGCGUGCGUCCUUUCUACUCAAGUUUACUAAGAGCGAUCUCAGAAGAAUAUGACUUCAUGGCRAUUCUUUUGACCCACUGGGGUUAUCUGUAGUCAUACUUCUCUCGUACACCUUUAACGGAUAUGAUUCCCUUCUAGCAGAGUCUCUCUUCUCUUUCUCUCCUUUCUUUCAGGCAGGGAGGAAGGAGACUCUGCCGAUGUAGAGUGUUUCCUUUGAUACACCGCCAUACUCCGCGAUUUACGAUUGUGGACGAACGAAACCAGUUUUAAAACCGGUUUCUAACCGGGUACAUGUAGUGCGCAUGRGCAAAUGUAACUCACCGUGGCGCUAAGCGCUGUUUGACGAGGGCGGCUGAGCUAAACGCUCAGUGUUCCCUGACUAUUAAGCCUCCCUGACUAAGCCGCCUUCCUGAAUAAACCUUCCUGACUAAGCCGCCCAGWCAAGCCGCCUGCAGACUUAAUUUAAUUCAAGCCCAUACAUACCACUUAUAGUAGUCUCGUUUUCAUUUCAAAAUUGUWAGUUAGGUUUAAUUAGUCUGCCGAAUGGCCUAUAUGACCAUUUGGGUCUAAUAAAAGUGUUUUAAAAAAUCA